CGAACGCAAAACGAAGAAUGGAACGAUACGAAAGGUAUAAUUUGUUUAAUAAAGGAAUUAUAUUGAAUUGUAUUGUUUUCUGGAAUAUUAUUUUGGCAUGUUUAUUUAUAUGAAGGGGUUGACAUUUUGAUUAUAUUUUAUACUAAUUUUAGUCAAAUCAUCAGACAUUUGGCAACAUGUAAGUGAAUUGAUAUAUAAAAGGAAAAGAUCUUUCUGUUGAAGCAACCAUUUCAAUAAGUGAGGAGGGAUAGCAACUUGGAAAUAUCAACUACAGAAAUUUGAUUACUAUAAAAAUCAAGAUUUUGUUGACAUCUUCAGCCUGGUUUACAUAUGCCUGCAUUAUCAUUGUUUACAGCUGUUGAUGCAUACAUUCUUUUGUGAAUUAUUUAGU